UUUGAUCUAGCUCAGAUUGAACGCUGAAGCAGUUCUUUACACAUGCAAGUCGAACGGCAGCACGGACUUCGGUCUGGUGGCGAGUGGCGAACGGGUGAGUAAUGUAUCGGAACGUGCCUAGUAGCGGGGGAUAACUACGCGAAAGCGUAAUACCACAUACUACGCCCUUCGGGGGAAAGCGGGGACCUUCGGGCCUGCACUAUUAGAGCGGCCGAUAUCGGAUUAGCUAGUUGGUGGGAGUAACGGCUCACCAAGAGGCGACGAUCCGUAGCUGGUUUGAGAGGACGACCAGCCACACUGGGACUGAGACACGGCCCAGACUCUACGGGAGGCAGCAGUGGGGAAUUUUGGACAAUGGAAACCCUGAUCCAGCAUCCCGCGUGUGCGCGAUGAAGGCCUUCAGGUUGUAAAGCACUUUUGGCGGAAAGAAACAGCUGGGAUAUGCCCCAGUGCAACUGACGUACCUGCAGAAUAAAGCACCGGCUAACUACGUGCCAGCAGCCGCGGCCUUCCACAGCAGGUGCAAGCAUUAAUCAGAUUACUGGGCGUAAAGCGUGCGCAGGCGGUUCGGAAAGAAGAUGUGAAAUCUGACUGCUGGGAACUGCAUUUUUAACUACCGAGCUAGAGUGUGUCAGAGGGAGGUGGAAUUCCCACGCCAAUAACAGUGAUAUGAAUAUGCGGAGGAACACCGAUGGCGAAGGCAGCCUCCUGGAAUACUGCUGUGUCAUGCGCAGCGUGGGAGCAAACGGGAUUGAUACCUGACCCGGUCCGCCUAAACAGUAUCCAACUGGCAUUUGGGCCUUCGGGCCUUGGUAGCGCAGCUAACGUCAAGAAGUUGACCGCCUGGAAAUACGGUCGCAGAUUAAAACUCAAAAGGAAUUGACGGGGACCCGCACAAGCGGUGGAUGAUGUGGAUAAUGGGUAACGCGAAAAGCCUUACCUACCCUUGACGUAUCUGGAAUCCCGAAGAGAUUUGGGAGUGCUCGCAAAAGAGAACCCGGAACACAGGUGCUGCAUGGCUGUCGUCACAGCUCGUGUGUGUCGUGAGAUGUUGGGUUAAGUCCCGCAACGAGCACAACCUUAUCAUUGAGUUGCUACGAAGGGCACUCUGUGGGGCCGGUGACAUUGGAGGAAGGUGGGGAUAACGUCAAGUCCUCAUGGCCCGCCAUGGUAGGGCUUCACACGUCAUACAAUGGUCGGGACAGAGGGUCGCCAACCCGCGAGGAGGAGCCAAUCCCAGGAAACCCGAUGUAGUCCGGAUCGCAGUCUGCAACUCGACUGCGUGAAGUCGGAAUCGCUAGUAAUCGCGGAUCAGCAUGUCGCGGUGAAUGGUCCCGGGUCUUGUACACACUGCCCGUCACACCAUGGGAGUGGGUUUGCAGAAGUAGUUAGCCUAACCGAAGGAGGGCGAUUACCACAGUAGGAUUCAUGACUGGGGUGAUCGUAACAAGGUAA
rnacentral:rRNA from 1 species